rnacentral:rRNA from 1 species
UACGUAGGGACCAAGCGUUGUUCGGAUUUACUGGGCGUAAAGGGCGCGUAGGCGGCGUGACAAGUCACUUGUGAAAUCUCUGAGCUUAACUCAGAACGGCCAAGUGAAACUGUUGUGCUAGAGUGCGGAAGGGGCAAUCGGAAUUCUUGGUGUAGCGGUGAAAUGCGUAGAUAUCAAGAGGAACACCGGUGGCGAAGGCGGUUCUCUGGGCAUUACCUGACGCUGAGGAGCGAAAGUGUGGGGAGCGAACAGG